rnacentral:miRNA from 1 species
CACUGCUUUUAGAAAGAAGCCUGCUGUGGUGGCACUCACCUGUAAUCCCAGCGCUUGGGAGGCUGAGGCAGGAGGAU